rnacentral:rRNA from 1 species
UAAUACGGAGGGUGCGAGCGUUAAUCGGAAUCACUGGGCGUAAAGCGCUCGUAGGCUGUUUGUUAAGUCAGAGGUGAAAUCCCACGGCUCAACCGUGGAACUGCCUUUGAUACUGGCAGACUAGAAUCCGGGAGAGGGUGGUGGAAUUCCAGGUGUAGGAGUGAAAUCCGUAGAUAUCUGGAGGAACAUCAGUGGCGAAGGCGACCACCUGGACCGGUAUUGACGCUGAGGAGCGAAAGCGUGGGGAGCAAACAGG